rnacentral:rRNA from 1 species
AUGGCCAGUUUCACCGCCGGCUUAUCCUCGGCUGCUCCGCCACGCCACGCUCCACGUACGACCAUCCAGCUCCUGCUGAUGGAGCCGUCGGAGACUAGCCCUGCGGUCACCACCCUUGACUCCCUCAAGGACGACAACAUCGAGGACAUCCUGCUCCGCCUCCCGUCGCCGGCCUCCCUCGCUCGAGCCGCGCUCGCGUCACGCCGCUGGCGCGGCAUCGCCUCAAGCCCCCGCUUCCUCCGGCGCUUCCGCGAGCUCCACCCCUGGUCGUCCGUCCUCGGCCUCUUCGUCACCCACGCGGACCUCGACCAGCUCCCCAUCUUCCACCCCGCGGCCGCCGUCCGGUCCGACGCAGACCUCGCGGCUGCGGCGCGCAGGGCCGACUUCCUGCUCACCCGCCUCGAGCACGAUCCGGCGUGGCGCCUCCGGGACUUCCGCAACGGCCGCCUCCUCCUCUGCAGAGGCGACUCCCUCUCCGUCUACGACCCCGUCUCCGUCUCCCACCGCCACGUCGCCGUGCCCCGUCCACGAAACGAAGCCCUCCCCGAGCCAGAGUACAUAUCGGACUGCUUGCUCGACCUCGACGGCCAUGGAGAUGGAGAAUGUGGCGCGCCGUGCUUCCGCGUGGUCACCGUGCAGCGGGAGCGAGACGGCCAAAGGAUGCGAGCCAUGGAGUACGGCUCCCGUGCGGCAGGGUGGCGCGUCCACCCGUGGGUGGACGUGGACGGCAUCGGCAUCGGCAUCGACGUGCCCGCGAAGCGCAUGCGGCGGCCGAUGCACGCUGCCGCGGCCGGGCUCAUCUUUUGGAAAUAUGACAUGAAUUCCUCGCUCUUGCUCGACACCAGCACCAUGGCGUUCUCAAUUGUCCCGCUCCCAGUUCCACGUACACGAGUAUACGCCAUUGGAGACACCGAUGCCGGUGCGUGUUGCCUUUUGAAUAUCGUCGGCGCGACCAUGUUGCAAGUGUGGCUGCUCAAGAAGAAGAACGGCGUCGGCGGUGGGCGUGCGUGGGAGUUGGAGAAGCAAAGCCAAAUAGGCGAACUUGCCAACUUGAACCGGAGGUUUUCCGUCCAUAUGGUGUCUGCCGGACUAGCAAUUGUUUACUGUGUGAGUAGCAAGUAUUCUCAUAUCGUCAUUGAUCUCAAGGACCUGAGCCUCAAGGACAAGUUUCGAUGUCAUCGUUGCAUGGCUUUCCCUUUCCAAAUGCCAUGGCCACCUGCUGGGUUGGUGGCUACUCCUACGUGUGAGAGAUCAACACCUCAACCCUAUGCUUGCAAAGCACUUACAGCUGCUGCAAGUCAACAUGAAGCACCUUCCUCUAGUAGAAAGCGAACGAGCAAUGAUGAAAUGGCAAGUGGUAAAGAAACAAUGGAGCCAUGUAUCUCCACAGCUUCUUUCAAGAAUGAAUCGCCGGAGAAGAAAUUUUGCUAUGAGAUUGGACCACCGUCUUGA